UCCGGGGUCUCACCAUGGCCUGGACCCCUCUCCUGCUCCCCCUCCUCACUCUCUGCACAGGUUCUGUGGCCUCUCAGCUGACUCAGGUGCCUGCAGCGUCUGUGGCCUUGGGACAGACAGCCAGGAUCACCUGCCAGGAAGAUGGCAUAAGGAGCUUUUUUACAAACUGGUACCAGCAGAAGCCAGGCGAGGCCCCUGUGCUGCUCAUCUAUGAUAGCAGCAAGCAGCCCUCAGGGAUCCCUGAGCGAUUCUCUGGCUCCAAAUCAGGGACCACGGCCACCCUGACCAUCAGCGGGGCACAGGCCGGGGACGAGGCUGACUAUUACUGUCACAGCCAGGACACCCCAGGGAGUUGUUGGAUUUUCGGCAGUGGGACCAAGCUGACCGUCCUAGGUCAGCCCAAGGCCGCCCCCUCUGUCACUCUGUUCCCGCCCUCCUCUGAGGAGCUCCAAGUCAACAAGGCCACACUGGUGUGUCUGAUCAGUGACUUCUACCCGGGCGCCGUCACCGUGGCCUGGAAGGCAGACAGCAGCCCCGUCACGCAGGGCGUGGAGACCACCCAGCCCUCGAAACAGAGCAACAACAAGUACGUGGCCAGCAGCUACCUGACCCUGUCACCUGAGCAGUGGAAAGGUAGUAGCAGGUUCAGCUGCCUGGUCACCCACGAAGGCAGCACCGUGGAGAAGACAGUGUGCCCUGCAGAGUGUGCUUAGGCCCCCGACCCCCCCCACCCUCGGGGACCUGGAGCCGCAGGAGCCCAGGGAAGGGGUCUCCCCUCCCACCCAGGUCAUCCCAGCCCUCCCCUGCACCCAAUGAACCCUCAAUAAAUAUCCUCGUUGUCAAUCAGUAA